UUGCUACGAACGUCUUACUGUCGGGACACCUUCGUGCUGGAAAUCUGUCUCGAUACAAACGUACCGCGCCACGGUUAUUGCCCCGUCCUAAUCCAUACAUGAAAUGGGCAUCUGCCAACUUCGCAUUUGUAAACAUUCCACUGACUGUAAAACCACGCUCGUGAUGAACACUAACCUGUUGAUGCUACGUACUGAUGUGCUUGAUGCUAGUACUGUAGAGCAAUGAGUCGCAUGUCAUGUCAACACAAGCACCGAAGUCAACAAUCUUUUCUUUAUUUGUGUGUGAGGAAUGUUUCCUGAAAGUUUGGCUGUACCUUUUUGUAACACCCAGUAUAAAUAUAAGAGUACAUUCAGUAAUAUCUGAUGUUAUAUAAAUAUAAUAGUGCUUUCUGUCAAUCUUUCUCUCCCCUGAGUGUAUUGUCAUUAUCAGUAAUAUGCAGACGGGAAUAAAUAUUCAAAAGACGUUGAUCAUCUGAUAAAACAAACUACCACUCAGAAUAAAAAGCACAGACAAGACUAGCACAUAUGUGAAAGAAUUAAAAGGUAACUUAGUCUUAAGCCCCUAUAAAGUAUAAAGGAAAUUUUACAAGCUAGUUCUUCCAGGGCAUUUCUUUGCCAAACAAAAAGUCUUCAGUUAGACACCAAUACGACUUUUUUCUUGAUUUUCUUACAACAAAUUUCAUCAACUCCUUCGAAAUAUCCUAAAUGUUUUGCUGCUUUUAAGCAGCAUUUAUUCAUUGUACAUAAGCCAAAUAAGCUACUAAUUUAAUUCGACUGUUAGAAAGGCUAACCGUAUUUUGCAAUCACAGACUAAAUCCUUAAAUCAAUUUUCACAGUUUCCAAAAAUAAGCUUAUUUUAUUGAGACAUCUCACUGAACACUGUUCAAUAUAUACAUUAUUGGAUUUAAUGCUGCCUGGCUUCGGCUUUUCUUUCUUCUAAAUCAGAAAAUCGUCUCACUUUUGGGGUACAGAUCUUUCAGUAACUUUUGGUGUAAAUUAUUGCCAAAACUUUAAUUUCUCCCUGCAAGGAAUGCAGAACUUUACAUAUUUAUAUACGACGUAACUUCGAGGUUAAUGUUGCCUGCAGUAACGAAAACGAGUAAUUUUCACCUGUCUCUCUGCUCAAGGCACGAUGCAUGGGGUUAUACAACAUAAUGCCUGUAUGAUACACUUCUCCCCGAUAAACGUUUGUACUUUCUAUAUUGAGAUGCAGUUUAAACGUCUUUCUGCAGCAUAUGGAAUUUCCCCCCAAGAAAUAUAAUCCGAUAUAUCAGUAUGGAAUUGAUUCUGCAGUGGUGCACUGUGAUGCACGGAUUAUAUUUUGUGAGAGGAUUUUACAGCAUAUGUGAAUGUAUUUAACAUUUUAUUUACAUUAUCCAAGUGUGUCUCCCAUAUCUGGUUAUCCUGGAUAUGCAUAUCGAAAAAUUUUGUCACAUUCAUAGAUAAGACAGUUUUUUGUUAAUGUUAAAUAUCGGUCUUGGUGGAGUUUCUGUGAAGUGUGGCAAUUGGGUGACAACGUUUUUUUCAGAAUUUAUUAUCAGCUUAUUUGUUCUGAACCAUGGUGUUAAAUUUUGAAUUCUAUCUGCAGCUGUUUUUUUGUUGGAUUUCUUCAUCAUAUGACUUAAUUAUGAUAUCUGUUCCAUCUGUAAUAAGUACUGCUGUCCUCCAAGUUAAUUUUUCUGCUAUAUCGUUAACAUAAAGAAUGAUAAGAAUGUGCUGAAGGAUUGACCCUUGAGAGCUCCAUAUCUGAUUUAUUUGUGGAUUACUAUAAAAAUUAAAAAUGUUAUGCACUUUUGUGUCUUUGUAUUUUAUUUGAGUGAUCUGCUGAUGAUCAUGUGGGUAAGAAUGGACCCAUCUGUUCGGUAGGCCUUGUGUUCCAUAAUUACUUAACUUCUGCGAUGAGAUGUCAUGAUCAACUAGGCCGCACGGGAUUAGCCGAGCGGUCUAAGGCGCUGCAGUCAUGGACCGUGCGGCUGGUCCUGGCUGAGGUUUGAGUCCUCUCUCGGGCAAGGGUGUGUGUGUUUGUCCUUAGAAUAUUUUAGGGUAAAUAGUGUGUAAGCUUAGGGACUUAUGACCUUAGCAGUUAAGUCCCAUAAGAUUUCACACACAUUUGAACAUUUGAUCGACUACACUGAAAGCUUUA